UACGAAGGGGGCUAGCGUUGUUCGGAAUUACUGGGCGUAAAGCGCGCGCAGGCGGCUUGUCAAGCCAGGGGUGAAAUCCCAGAGCUCAACUCUGGAACUGCCUUUGGAACUGUCAAGCUAGAGUAUCGGAGGGGACAGUGGAAUUCCUAGUGUAGAGGUGAAAUUCGUAGAUAUUAGGAGGAACACCAGUGGCGAAGGCGACUGUCUGGACGAUAACUGACGCUGAGGCGCGAAAGCGUGGGGAGCAAACAGG
rnacentral:rRNA from 1 species